rnacentral:rRNA from 1 species
UACGUAGGGUCCAAGCGUUAUCCGGAAUCACUGGGCGUAAAGCGUGCGUAGGUGGAUUGUUAAGUGCGGUGCGAAAUCCUGUGGCUCAACCAUAUGGACUGUAUCGCAUACUGGCAAUCUAGAGGACAUGAGAGGCAAGUGGAAUUACUGGUGUAGCAGUGAAAUGCGUAGAGAUCAGUAGGAACACCAAUGGCGAAGGCAGCUUGCUGGCAUGUAUCUGACGCUAAGGCACGAAAGCGUGGGGGAGCGAACAGG